AUUGAACGCUGGCGGCAGGCCUAACACAUGCAAGUCGAGCGGAGCGGCGGACGGACGAGUAAUGCCUAGGCAUCUGCCUGGUAGUGGGGGAUAACGUCCGGAAACGGGCGCUAAUCCCUCAUACUAUCAUAUGCGCCUAGGUCGGAUUAGCUAGUGGGUGGGGUAAAGGCUUACCAAGCCGACGACCCGUAACUGGUCUGAGAGGAUGAUCAGGCACACUGGAACUGAGACACGGUCCAGACUCCUACGGGAGGCAGCAGUGGGGAAUAUUGGACAAUGUGCGAAAGCCUGAUCCAGCCAUGCAGCGUGUGUGAAGAAGGUCUUCGGAUUGUAAAGCACUUUAAGUUGGGAGGCGUUACCAACAGAAGAAGCACCGGGUAACUUCGUGCCAGCAGCCGCGGUAAUUC
rnacentral:rRNA from 1 species